rnacentral:rRNA from 1 species
UACGUAGGGGGCAAGCGUUGUCCGGAAUCAUUGGGCGUAAAGAGCGUGUAGGCGGCCCGAUAAGUCCGCCGUGAAAGUCAGGGGCUCAACCCUUGAAUGCCGGUGGAUACUGUCGGGCUAGAGUCCGGAAGAGGCGAGUGGAAUUCCUGGUGUAGCGGUGAAAUGCGCAGAUAUCAGGAGGAACACCGAUGGCGAAGGCAGCUCGCUGGGACGGUACUGACGCUGAGGCGCGAAAGCGUGGGGAGCAAACAGG